rnacentral:tRNA from 1 species
GCCGAUGUGGCGGAAUUGGUAGACGCGGUAGACUCAAAAUCUACUUUAGGCAACUAAGUGCUGGUUCGAGUCCGGUCAUCGGCA